rnacentral:rRNA from 1 species
AUUGAACGCUAGCGGGAUGCUUUACACAUGCAAGUCGAACGAGUGGCGAACGGGUGAGUAAUGUAUCGGAACGUGCCCCGUAGCGGGGGAUAACUACGAGAAAGCGUAGCUAAUACCGCAUACUAUUUGAGUGGCCGAUAUCGGAUUAGCUAGUAGGUGGGGUAACGGCUCACCUAGGGGACGAUCCCUAGCUGGUCUGAGAGGAUGACCAGCCACACUGUAACUGAGACACGGUCCAGACUCCUACGGGAGGCAGCAGUGGGGAAUAUUGCACAAUGGGCGCAAGCCUGAUGCAGCCAUGCCGCGUGUAUGAAGAAGGCCUUCGGGUUGUAAAGUACUUUCAGCGAGGAGGCGUUACUCGCAGAAGAAGCACCGGCUAACUCCGUGCCAGCAGCCGCGGUAAUAC